ACGACCGUAGCUCAGCUGGUUAGAGCGCUACCUUGACAUGGUAGGGGUCGGUGGUUCGAAUCCACUCAGUCGUACCA
rnacentral:tRNA from 1 species